GUCCACGCCCUAAACGAUGUCAACUGGUUGUCGGGAAGUUAUUCCUUGGUAACGAAGCUAACGCGUGAAGUUGACCGCCUGGGGAGUACGGCCGCAAGGUUAAACUCAAAGGAAUUGACGGGGACCCGCACAAGCGGUGGAUUAUGUGGAUUAAUUCGAUGCAACGCGAAAACCUUACCUACCCUUGACAUGUGCGGAAGGGGUAGAGAUACCUCGGUGCCCGAAAGGGAACCGCAACACAGGUGCUGCAUGGCUGUCGU
rnacentral:rRNA from 1 species